rnacentral:rRNA from 1 species
UACGUAGGGGGCAAGCGUUGUCCGGAUUUAUUGGGCGUAAAGAGCGUGUAGGCGGUCAGGUAGGUCCGUUGUGAAAACUCGAGGCUCAACCUCGAGACGCCGAUGGAAACCAUCUGACUAGAGUCCGGAAGAGGAGAGUGGAAUUCCAGGUGUAGCGGUGAAAUGCGUAGAUAUCUGGAGGAACACCGGUGGCGAAGGCGGCAUCCUGGACCAACACUGACGCUGAGGAGCGAAAGCCAGGGGAGCAAACGGG